rnacentral:rRNA from 1 species
UACGGGGGGGGCAAGCGGUUGUUCGGAAUUACUGGGCGUAAAGGGCUCGUAGGUGGCCAACUAAGUCAGACGUGAAAUCCCUCGGCUUAACCGGGGAACUGCGUCUGAUACUGGAUGGCUUGAGUGUGGGAGAGGGAUGCGGAAUUCCAGGUGUAGCGGUGAAAUGCGCAGAUAUCAGGAGGAACACCCGUGGCGAAAGCGGCUCUCUGGGACGGUACUGACGCUGAGACGCGAAAGCGUGGGGAGCAAACAGG